UACGAAGGGGGCUAGCGUUGCUCGGAAUCACUGGGCGUAAAGGGUGCGUAGGCGGGUCUUUAAGUCAGGGGUGAAAUCCUGGAGCUCAACUCCAGAACUGCCUUUGAUACUGAAGAUCUUGAGUUCGGGAGAGGUGAGUGGAACUGCGAGUGUAGAGGUGAAAUUCGUAGAUAUUCGCAAGAACACCAGUGGCGAAGGCGGCUCACUGGCCCGAUACUGACGCUGAGGCACGAAAGCCAGGGGAGCAAACGGG
rnacentral:rRNA from 1 species